AGCGAACGCUGGCGGCAGGCCUAACACAUGCAAGUCGAGCGCCCCGCAAGGGGAGCGGCAGACGGGAGAGUAACACGUGGGAACGUACCCUUCGGUUCGGAACAACCCAGGGAAACUUGGGCUAAUACCGGAUACGUCCGUAAGGAGAAAGAUUCAUCGCCGAAGGAGCGGCCCGCGCCUGAUUAGCUAGUUGGUGAGGUAACGGCUCACCAAGGCUACGAUCAGUAGCUGGUCUGAGAGGAUGAUCAGCCUCACUGGGACUGAGACACGGCCCAGACUCCUACGGGAGGCAGCAGUGGGGAAUAUUGGACAAUGGGCGCAAGCCUGAUCCAGCCAUGCCGCGUGGGUGAUGAAGGCCCUAGGGUUGUAAAGCCCUCUCGGCGGGGAAGAUAAUGACGGUACCCGCAGAAGAAGCCCCGGCUAACUUCGUGCCAGCCGCCGCAGUAAGAC
rnacentral:rRNA from 1 species